CGAGUGAAGCGGCAACAGCUCAAAUUUGAAAUCUGGCCCUCGGGUCCGAGUUGUAAUUUGUAGAGGAUGAUUUUGGUUAGGUACCUUCCGAGUUCCUUGGAACAGGACGCCUUAGAGGGUGAGAGCCCCGUACGGUUGGAUGCCGAGCCUCUGUAAAUCUCCUUCGACGAGUCGAGUAGUUUGGGAAUGCUGCUCUAAAUGGGAGGUAAAUUUCUUCUAAAGCUAAAUACCGGCCAGAGACCGAUAGCGCACAAGUAGAGUGAUCGAAAGAUGAAAAGCACUUUGAAAAGAGGGUUAAAUAGUACGUGAAAUUGUUGAAAGGGAAGGGCUUGUGACCAGACCUUUGCCUUGCGGAUCAUCCGGUGUUCUCACCGGUGCACUCCGCUUGGUUGAGGCCAGCAUCAGUUUCGGCGGCGGGAUAAAGACUUCAGGAACGUGACUCCCCCGGGAGUGUUAUAGCCUGCUGUGUAAUACCGCCGCUGGGACUGAGGACCGCGCUUCGGCUAGGAUGCUGGCAUAAUGGUCAUCAGCCACCCGUCUUGAAACACGGACCAAGGAGUCGAACAUUUAUGCGAGUUUUUGGGUGUUAAACCCUCAAGCGUAAUGAAAGUGAACGGAGGUGAGAGCCCUUACGGGUGCAUCAUCGACCGAUCCUGAUGUCUUCGGAUGGAUUUGAGUAAGAGCAUAACUGUUCGGACCCGAAAGAUGGUGAACUAUGCGUGGAUAGGGUGAAGCCAGAGGAAACUCUGGUGGAGGCUCGCAGCGGUUCUGACGUGCAAAUCGAUCGUCAAAUCUGCGCAU
rnacentral:rRNA from 1 species